rnacentral:rRNA from 1 species
UACGAAGGGGGCUAGCGUUGCUCGGAAUUACUGGGCGUAAAGGGCGCGUAGGCGGAUAUUUAAGUUGGGGGUGAAAUCCCGGGGCUCAACCUCGGAAUUGCCUUCAAAACUGGAUAUCUUGAGUUCGGGAGAGGUGAGUGGAACUCCGAGUGUAGAGGUGAAAUUCGUAGAUAUUCGGAAGAACACCAGUGGCGAAGGCGGCCACCUGGACGGUAACUGACGCUGAGGCGCGAAAGCGUGGGGAGCAAACAGG